GGCCCUGGUGUCACAGGCUCUGUGACACGUUGAUGCUGGCUGAGCGGCGGCGGAAACAGAAGUGGGCUGUGGAUGCAAGAAAUACUAUGUGGAGUGAUGAUGAUUCCGAGUUUGGCCAGAGAAUGCUGGAGAAGAUGGGGAGCCACAGAUCACAUUAAAGUUCAAAUUAAAAAUAACCACCUGGGACUUGGAGCUACAGUCAAUAAUGAAGAAAACGGGAUUGCACAUCAAGAUGAUUUCAACCAGCUUCUGGCUAAACUGAACACUUGCCAUGGGCAAGAAACAGCAGAUACCCCAGACAACAAGGAAAAGAAAUCUUUUGGCCUUGAGGAAAAGUCCAAAAUUUCCAAAAACUGUGUUCAUUAUAUGAAAUUCACAAAAGGAGGAUUCCAGCCCCUCCACUCCAGAUGGGAAUGAAACUUCCACCACAACAACCAGCGCCUUCACCAUCCGGGAGUAUUUCUCCAAGUGCGUGGCAGAGCUGAAUAGCAAGCCCCAGGUCACAGCUCUAGGGCCUGA